UUGUGGAGUGAAGCAGAUGGCAAAAGUUUUGUUAUGUUCAAAGAAAACAUAACAGGAUGAACUUUGACGCCGCUAGGAAUGGGAGAGAAAGAAAAGAAAAGCGCUCAGAUCUGAGCCUCCUGAACAGCUGGGAUUACAGGCAUGAGCUGCUGGCACCCACUAGAAGAUGUUUUGACAAUUAAAAUGUGAUGAGGAAAAACUAUAGAAAUGCGAUGGGAUUGUGUUGAGAAGCAGAACUGCUCUGAAAAUGGAAAAGGAAACUAAUUAGUGUUGGGCAGAGUGCUUUCCUGUGCCUGGAAAAGGCUCUUUGGCAGUACCAUUUGAGCAGCUCCAUCAUAAGUUAAGAAAAAUGUUACAACAUGGUCUUUGUUGGAAAUACAUAGUUAAUAUCCCACAAAACAUUUAUUACUAUUUAUAUAGUAAUAUAAAGUAAGAUAAAUUAUAUAUAAUAUAAAUUAUACUA